rnacentral:rRNA from 1 species
UUAAGCGACUAAGCGUACACGGUGGAUGCCCUGGCAGUCAGAGGCGAUGAAGGACGUGCUAAUCUGCGAAAAGCGUCGGUAAGGUGAUAUGAACCGUUANCACUAUCGUUAACUGAAUACAUAGGUUAACGAGGCGAACCGGGGGAACUGAAACAUCUAAGUACCCCGAGGAAAAGAAAUCAACCGAGAUUCCCCCAGUAGCGGCGAGCGAACGGGGAGCAGCCCAGAGUCUGAAUCAGCUUGUGUGUUAGUGGAACGGUCUGGAAAGUCCGACGGUACAGGGUGAUAGUCCCGUACACCAAAAUGCACAGGCUGUGAACUCGAAGAGUAGGGCGGGACACGUGGUAUCCUGUCUGAAUAUGGGGGGACCAUCCUCCAAGGCUAAAUACUCCUGACUGACCGAUAGUGAACCAGUACCGUGAGGGAAAGGCGAAAAGAACCCCGGCGAGGGGAGUGAAAAAGAACCUGAAACCGUGUACGUACAAGCAGUGGGAGCACCUUCGGGUGUGACUGCGUACCUUUUGUAUAAUGGGUCAGCGACUUAUAUUCUGUAGCAAGGUUAACCGUAUAGGGGAGCCGCAGGGAAACCGAGUCUUAACUGGGCGUUAAGUUGCAGGGUAUAGACCCGAAACCCGGUGAUCUAGCCAUGGGCAGGUUGAAGGUUGGGUAACACUAACUGGAGGACCGAACCGACUAAUGUUGAAAAAUUAGCGGAUGACUUGUGGCUGGGGGUGAAAGGCCAAUCAAACCGGGAGAUAGCUGGUUCUCCCCGAAAGCUAUUUAGGUAGCGCCUCGUGAACUCAUCUUCGGGGGUAGAGCACUGUUUCGGCUAGGGGGUCAUCCCGACUUACCAACCCGAUGCAAACUACGAAUACCGAAGAAUGUUAUCACGGGAGACACACGGCGGGUGCUAACGUCCGUCGUGAAGAGGGAAACAACCCAGACCGCCAGCUAAGGUCCCAAAGUCAUGGUUAAGUGGGAAACGAUGUGGGAAGGCACAGACAGCCAGGAUGUUGGCUUAGAAGCAGCCAUCAUUUAAAGAAAGCGUAAUAGCUCACUGGUCGAGUCGGCCUGCGCGGAAGAUGUAACGGGGCUAAACCAUGCACCGAAGCUGCGGCAGCGACACUAUGUGUUGUUGGGUAGGGGAGCGUUCUGUAAGCCUGCGAAGGUGUGCUGUGAGGCAUGCUGGAGGUAUCAGAAGUGCGAAUGCUGACAUAAGUAACGAUAAAGCGGGUGAAAAGCCCGCUCGCCGGAAGACCAAGGGUUCCUGUCCAACGUUAAUCGGGGCAGGGUGAGUCGACCCCUAAGGCGAGGCCGAAAGGCGUAGUCGAUGGGAAACAGGUUAAUAUUCCUGUACUUGGUGUUACUGCGAAGGGGGGACGGAGAAGGCUAUGUUAGCCGGGCGACGGUUGUCCCGGUUUAAGCAUGUAGGCUGGUUGUCCAGGCAAAUCCGGAUAAUCAAGGCUGAGGUGUGAUGACGAGGCACUACGGUGCUGAAGUAACAAAUGCCCUGCUUCCAGGAAAAGCCUCUAAGCAUCAGGUAACAUCAAAUCGUACCCCAAACCGACACAGGUGGUCAGGUAGAGAAUACCAAGGCGCUUGAGAGAACUCGGGUGAAGGAACUAGGCAAAAUGGUGCCGUAACUUCGGGAGAAGGCACGCUGGUGUGUAGGUGAAGUCCCUGCGGAUGGAGCUGAGACCAGUCGAAGAUACCAGCUGGCUGCAACUGUUUAUUAAAAACACAGCACUGUGCAAACACGAAAGUGGACGUAUACGGUGUGACGCCUGCCCGGUGCCGGAAGGUUAAUUGAUGGGGUUAUCCGUAAGGAGAAGCUCUUGAUCGAAGCCCCGGUAAACGGCGGCCGUAACUAUAACGGUCCUAAGGUAGCGAAAUUCCUUGUCGGGUAAGUUCCGACCUGCACGAAUGGCGUAAUGAUGGCCAGGCUGUCUCCACCCGAGACUCAGUGAAAUUGAACUCGCUGUGAAGAUGCAGUGUACCCGCGGCAAGACGGAAAGACCCCGUGAACCUUUACUAUAGCUUGACACUGAACAUUGAGCCUUGAUGUGUAGGAUAGGUGGGAGGCUUUGAAGCGUGGACGCCAGUCUGCGUGGAGCCAACCUUGAAAUACCACCCUUUAAUGUUUGAUGUUCUAACGUUGGCCCCUUACCGGGGUUGCGGACAGUGUCUGGUGGGUAGUUUGACUGGGGCGGUCUCCUCCCAAAGCGUAACGGAGGAGCACGAAGGUUAGCUAAUCCUGGUCGGACAUCAGGAGGUUAGUGCAAUGGCAUAAGCUAGCUUGACUGCGAGCGUGACGGCGCGAGCAGGUGCGAAAGCAGGUCAUAGUGAUCCGGUGGUUCUGAAUGGAAGGGCCAUCGCUCAACGGAUAAAAGGUACUCCGGGGAUAACAGGCUGAUACCGCCCAAGAGUUCAUAUCGACGGCGGUGUUUGGCACCUCGAUGUCGGCUCAUCACAUCCUGGGGCUGAAGUAGGUCCCAAGGGUAUGGCUGUUCGCCAUUUAAAGUGGUACGCGAGCUGGGUUUAGAACGUCGUGAGACAGUUCGGUCCCUAUCUGCCGUGGGCGCUGGAGAAUUGAGGGGGGCUGCUCCUAGUACGAGAGGACCGGAGUGGACGCAUCACUGGUGUUCGGGUUGUCAUGCCAAUGGCACUGCCCGGUAGCUAAAUGCGGAAGAGAUAAGUGCUGAAAGCAUCUAAGCACGAAACUUGCCCCGAGAUGAGUUCUCCCUGAGACUUUAAGUCUCCUGAAGGAACGUUGAAGACGACGACGUUGAUAGGCCGGGUGUGUAAGCGCAGCGAUGCGUUGAGCUAACCGGUACUAAUGAACCGUGAGGCUUAACCUU